rnacentral:rRNA from 1 species
GAGGUGAAAUUCUUGGAUUUAUUGAAGAACUAACUACUGCGAAAGCAUUUGCCAAGGAUGUUUUCAUUAAUCAGUGAACGAAAGUUAGGGGAUCGAAGACGAUCAGAUACCGUCGUAGUCUUAACCAUAAACUAUGCCGACUAGGGAUCGGGCGGUGCUCAAUUCAUGACCCGCUCGGCACCUUACGAGAAAUCAAAGUUUUUGGGUUCUGGGGGGAGUAUGGUCGCAAGGCUGAAACUUAAAGGAAUUGACGGAAGGGCACCACCAGAUGUGGAGCCUGCGGCUUAAUUUGACUCAACACGGGGAAACUCACCAGGUCCAGACACAUUAAGGAUUGACAGAUUGAGAGCUCUUUCUUGAUUAUGCGGGUGGUGGUGCAUGGCCGUUCUUAGUUGGUGGAGUGAUUUGUCUGCUUAAUUGCGAUAACGAACGAGACCUUAACCUGCUAAAUAGCCAGGCUAACAACAGUUGGUCGCCGGCUUCUUAGAGGGACUAUCGGCUCAAGCCGAUGGAAGUUUGAGGCAAUAACAGGUCUGUGAUGCCCUUAGAUGUUCUGGGCCGCACGCGCGCUACACUGACAGAGCCAACGAGUAUAAACCUUGUCCGAAAGGUCUGGGUAAUCUUGUUAAACUCUGUCGUGC